UUCAGGCCUGUGAUGAGGCAGAGACAGCAUGGCAGAAGGGUGUGGUGGAGGAAAGCUGCUCACCUCAUGCAAGCCAGGAAUCAGAGAAAAAAGACUGAAAGAACCAGAGAGGAACAGACUGUUUCUACCAUCUUCCAAAAAUUCCACUGAAUUAUGAUCUUAUCAAUGGAUUAAUCUACUGUUGAAGUUACAGCCUUCAUGAUACGAUCACCUUCUGAAAGCCCAGUCCCUAAUCACAGGAGACUUUGAGGGGACUUUUUAUAUCUAAACCUUAAUUAAGUCUCAUCUGCAGAAGCCCAGAGGCAAGGCUUUCUCCUUUUAUGCCUCCAGCGUGUGGAUACUGAAAGAAGAGUGCUGAGGAAGAUGCCAUGUGUCACUGAGCUGAUGUAUAACAUUGGCCUCCCUCUUUUCCUUUUACAACAUAUUUUCAAGGGGUAUUGAAAGCAUGCAAGAACAUAUGCUGUUAACUUACUUCACUCCAAAGAAUGCUGAUGUUUGUCCCCCAGCUCUACCACCAACUUGCUGCAUGGAUAACAUCAAGAACUAUUUUUGGAUGCCAAGAAGAGAGGUCAUUUUCCAGAUAAUCUCACCAAGCAAACAGAAUGGCAGCCGUAGCAGGAGGCCUCAUGUCGCAGCUCACAGAGCUUGAAGGGCCUCAGCAGGUGCUAACGAGGAGCCAGAUCACCAUGGCAUAGCCCAGCACUGGGGUCUGCCUUAACGAGGUCAAGCUAGCUGGGUUUUCAGGUCUGGAAGGUGAGGAACAAAGCCAGGUAGGAAUCCUUCCCAAUGAUCACCUGCAACUUCAUCUUGGAAGAAA
rnacentral:lncRNA from 1 species